rnacentral:rRNA from 1 species
UGAGGAAUAUUGGGUCAAUGGGCGAGAGCCUGAACCAGCCAAGUCGCGUGAGGGAUGACGGUCCUACGGAUUGUAAACCUCUUUUGUCGGGGAGUAACGUGCGGGACGGGUCCCGUAUUGAGAGUACCCGAAGAAAAAGCAUCGGCUAACUCCGUGCCAGCAGCCGCGGUAAUACGGAGGAUGCGAGCGUUAUCCGGAUUUAUUGGGUUUAAAGGGUGCGCAGGCGGCGCGCCAAGUCAGCGGUCAAAGUUCCGGGCUCAACCCGGUGUCGCCGUUGAAACUGGCGUGCUCGAGUGCGUGCGAGGAAGGCGGAAUGCGUUGUGUAGCGGUGAAAUGCAUAGAUAUCACGAGGAACCCCGAUUGCGAAGGCAGCUUGCGGAGCGCAACUGACGCUGAAGCU